AUUGAACGCUGGCGGCAGGCCUAACACAUGCAAGUCGAGCGGAUGAAGGGAGCUUGCUCCUGGAUUCAGCGGCGGACGGGUGAGUAAUGCCUAUGAAUCUGCCUGGUAGUGGGGGAUAACGUCCGGAAACGGGCGCUAAUACUGCAUACGUCCAGAGGGUGAAAGAGGGGGAUCUUCGGACCUCACGCUAUCAGAUGAGCCUAGGUCGGAUUAGCUAGUUGGUGGGGUAAAGGCCUACCAAGGCGACGAUCCGUAACUGGUCUGAGAGGAUGAUCAGUCACACUGGAACUGGGACACGGUCCAGCCUCCUACGGGAGGCAGCAGUGGGGAUUAUUGGACAAUGGCCGAAAGCCUGAUCCAGCCAUGCCGCGUGUGUGAAGAAGGUCUUCGGAUUGUAAAGCGCUUUAAGUUGGGAGGAAGGGCAGUAAGUUAAUACCUUGCUGUUUUGACGUUACCAACAGAAUAAGCACCGGCUAACUUCGUG
rnacentral:rRNA from 1 species